UUCUUAUACAGAGAGAUUGAGGGACAGGCCCAAUGACAUCUCAGCAACCGGUUCGCAAGAGUACGGUGCUAAUUCCUGCGGAGUAAUCCGACUAUAAGAA
rnacentral:ncRNA from 2 species